UGUAAGCGUAUACCAAAGUUGUUGCAGUUAAAACGCUCGUAGUCGGAAUUUGGUAGUUCCGGAUGUGUGCACGUCGUGUGCGCACUUCGCGGGGAUUGCUUUUGUGGUCUUGCGUAGGAUGAGGCACUUUUAUUAGUGAACGUCCUCACGCAACCACUUUUUACUGUGAGAAAAUCAGAGUGCUCAAAGCAGGCAUUUGCCGUGAAUGUAUUAGCAUGGAAUAAUAGAAUAGGACUUGGUUCUAUUUUGUUGGUUUGUUGGGACUGAGUAAUGAUUAAGAGGGACAGUUGGGGGCAUUUGUAUUUCGGCGCUAGAGGUGAAAUUCUUAGAUUGCCGAAAGACAAACUGCUGCGAAAGCGUCUGCCAAGGAUGUUUUCAUUGA
rnacentral:rRNA from 1 species